CAGUUAUUAACUACUAACCUUUCCUCACAACUGAAAGUGCUUUACAACCAAGGCCUUCUUCACACACGCGGCAUGGCUGCAUCAGGCUUGCGCCCAUUGUGCAAUAUUCCCC
rnacentral:rRNA from 1 species